GGGGCGAUAACCCAGAAAUCAAGUGGUACUUCAUGGUCUUUGGUGGUGUUUCAUAAAAACAUCAAAGAUACAUUGUAGCGGGUUCGAUUCCCGCUGCCCCACCA
rnacentral:tRNA from 1 species